CCUACGGGGGGCUGCAGUCGAGAAUUAUUCACAAUGGGGGAAACCCUGAUGGUGCGACGCCGCGUGGGGGAAUGAAGGUCUUCGGAUUGUAAACCCCUGUCAUGUGGGAGCAAAUUAAAAAGAUAGUACCACAAGAGGAAGAGACGGCUAACUCUGUGCCAGCAGCCGCGGUAAUACAGAGGUCUCAAGCGUUGUUCGGAAUCACUGGGCGUAAAGCGUGCGUAGGCUGUUUCGUAAGUCGUGUGUGAAAGGCGCGGGCUCAACCCGCGGACGGCACAUGAUACUGCGAGACUAGAGUAAGGGAGGGGGAACCGGAAUUCUCGGUGUAGCAGUGAAAUGCGUAGAUAUCGAGAGGAACACUCGUGGCGAAGGCGGGUUCCUGGACAUUAACUGACGCUGAGGCACGAAGGCCAGGGGAGCGAAAGGGAUUAGAUACCCGGGUAGUC
rnacentral:rRNA from 1 species